AUGGCAUAUCAGUUAUACAGAAAUACCGCUUUGGGAAACAGUCUUCAGGUGAGCCUAGAUGAGCUCAUACAGUCUCAACAGACCACCUACAAGUUCUACUUCAGUUUGAUAAGGCUAUAAAUUCAGCAUUGGCUCAGAGGGUUAGGAACAGAGUCAAUUUCAGGAGCUUUCUAAAUAUGUACAGAUUCUGUGAUAAUCUGUGGACUUUCGUAUUGAAUGAUGUUGAAUUCAGAGAAGUGACAAAAUUUAUUAAAGUGGAUGAAGCAAAAAUAGUAGACUGUGAUGGUAAAAAUACUGGCUCCAAUACUACAGAAUGA
rnacentral:lncRNA from 1 species